rnacentral:ncRNA from 1 species
ACAAAAGGGAAUGAUGUUCUCCCUUGAGCAGGCUGCUGCCGCUCAGAACCGCUUUCAAAGCUGAUGACUUCUGCCAA